rnacentral:rRNA from 1 species
UACGGAGGGGGCUAGCGUUGUUCGGAAUUACUGGGCGUAAAGCGCACGUAGGCGGCUUUGUAAGUUAGAGGUGAAAGCCCGGGGCUCAACUCCGGAAUUGCCUUUAAGACUGCAUCGCUAGAAUUGUGGAGAGGUAAGUGGAAUUCCGAGUGUAGAGGUGAAAUUCGUAGAUAUUCGGAAGAACACCAGUGGCGAAGGCGGCUCACUGGACCGGUAUUGACGCUGAGGUGCGAAAGCGUGGGGAGCGAACAGG